rnacentral:tRNA from 1 species
GGUUCCAUAGUGUAAUGGUUAGCACAUUUGCUUUACAUGCAGAGGUCCUGGGUUUCCGCCCCAGUGGAGCCA